rnacentral:lncRNA from 13 species
ACUCUAAUCUGAGACCACAGAGUCCUUGCAUCAGUCAUUUCCACCGCGCUAAGGCCUAGCCUGGGAGCAGCCAGCCUCAUUGGCCGCGGAGCCCACACACAUGAAUAUGCAAUUAUUGAAAUGAAAACUUAAGCUUUGCCACCAAGGGCCACCACGAAGGAGUCCUUUCAUUCCUCCUUUUACUUUCGUAAGAAAGUAGGUGCAUUAAAAAUAAAAUGUAUGAAAAUACAUGUCUAAAGAGAAGAGAGAAGAUCUGAACCUACGCAACGGUGUGCCCCGCCAAAGUUUCACCUCAGGAUGUGUUUUAGGGUGUGUCUUUGAUUUAGCCCUGCAAUUAAUAAAAAAAAAUCCCACUCCUUCGGGGCGCCCCGGUACUUUCCUCAUCCACCCUCACAAGCUACCAGGCUCUGAAAUCACUGAGUACCUCAGCCGCGCCCUGAUUUCCCCUGAGAGACAGCGGCGCCCGCGGCCCGAGGCCCCAAGCAGUUACAGCCGCAGGGACGGCGUCCUCCCGCCUCCCGGGUCCGCGCCCGCCCCGCGUCCGAGGGGAACUAGAGAGGCUCACCCUGGAGGCCGGGGGACAGGAGGGCGCCACCACCUCAGCGCGGGAGACCGGGCCUCCGUCCCGCCCGGGAUUGCGCGCCUAGUCCUGGGCUGCCCCAGAGCCCGCGGCGACCCCGGCCCCGACUCGGGCCCGGAGCCCCGCUCUUACCGUGCGGAGGUCGCGCUGCCACCUAUGCCGAGGACCGGCAGCAGGCCGCCCAACGACCUGCGGGCCCGAAGACGGAAGGUGAAGCUAGGGCCGCCCGUCACAUCUCUGCAGUCCCCGCCGCCGGAGCCGCAGCUCCCAGCAUCGCGUCCACGGUCUGAGGUAGCGCCGGACUCCAAAUCCACCGCGCCCGUUCCUCUGCAGGCACCGGCCUGGACUCCGCCCUCCAAGGUCCGCGAAACCGCGCAGUCCCGCCCCUCCGCGGACCGGUACGCAGGCGCGAGCCUCAAGGGGCUACGGUGCCCGCCCCACCCCGUGAUCCAGCUGAACCCCGCCUCCGGCCCUGCCCCGCCCUCGCGCAGUGCUUUCCCAAGCUCCGCCCCACUUCGGGCCCCGCCCCCUCCACUGACAUUGCUUGGCUGCCUCCUGACUCAGGUUUUUGCUCGGCCCACGCAGUGACGCCAGUCUUGCAGUCGACCUCACCUCUAGCCGUCCCUUGGACUACAUUUGCUGUUCGACCGUGGUUAAACCUGACAGCUCCUUCUCCAGGAUGUGAAAAGUGAGGAGCGGUCUGAGCAUUGGGCCUGAC